rnacentral:rRNA from 1 species
UACGGAGGGUGCAAGCGUUAAUCGGAAUUACUGGGCGUAAAGCGCACGCAGGCGGUCUGUCAAGUCGGAUGUGAAAUCCCCGGGCUCAACCUGGGAACUGCAUUCGAAACUGGCAGGCUAGAGUCUUGUAGAGGGGGGUAGAAUUCCAGGUGUAGCGGUGAAAUGCGUAGAGAUCUGGAGGAAUACCGGUGGCGAAGGCGGCCCCCUGGACGAGACCUGACACUGAGGCACGAAAGCCAAGGGAGCAAACAGG